GAUAUGGCUCAGGAUGAACGCUAGCGACAGGCCUAACACAUGCAAGUCGAGGGGCAGCGCGGAGUAGCAUACUUGGCGGCGACCGGCGCACGGGUGAGUGACACGUAUGCAACCGACCCAUAACAGGGGGAUAACCCGGAGAAAUCCGGGACUAAUACCGCAUAAGACCACGAUAUCGCAUGAUAUAGAGGUCAAAUAUUUAUAGGUUAUGGACGGGCAUGCGUCUGAUUAGCUGGUUGGCGGGGUAACGGCCCACCAAGGCAUCGAUCAGUAGGGGUUCUGAGAGGAAGGUCCCCCACAUUGGAACUGAGACACGGUCCAAACUCCUACGGGAGGCAGCAGUGAGGAAUAUUGGUCAAUGGGCGAAAGCCUGAACCAGCCAUGUCGCGUGAAGGAUUGAAGGUCCUAUGGAUUGUAAACUUCUUUUGCAGGAGGGUAAAGUGAGCUACGUGUAGUUCAUUGCAAGUACCCUGCGAAUAAGCAUCGGCUAACUCCGUGCCAGCAGCUGC
rnacentral:rRNA from 1 species